rnacentral:rRNA from 1 species
AGAGUUUGAUCCUGGCUCAGAUUGAACGCUGGCGGCAGGCCUAACACAUGCAAGUCGAACGGUAACAGGAAGAAGCUUGCUUCUUUGCUGACGAGUGGCGGACGGGUGAGUAAUGUCUGGGAAACUGCCUGAUGGAGGGGGAUAACUACUGGAAACGGUAGCUAAUACCGCAUAACGUCGCAAGACCAAAGAGGGGGACCUUCGGGCCUCUUGCCAUCGGAUGUGCCCAGAUGGGAUUAGCUAGUAGGUGGGGUAACGGCUCACCUAGGCGACGAUCCCUAGCUGGUCUGAGAGGAUGACCAGCCACACUGGAACUGAGACACGGUCCUGACUCCUACGGGAGGCAGCAGUGGGGAAUAUUGCACAAUGGGCGCAAGCCUGAUGCAGCCAUGCCGCGUGUAUGAAGAAGGCCUUCGGGUUGUAAAGUACUUUCAGCGGGGAGGAAGGGAGUAAAGUUAAUACCUUUGCUCAUUGACGUUACCCGCAGAAGAAGCACCGGCUAACUCCGUGCCAGCAGCCGCGGUAAUACGGAGGGUGCAAGCGUUAAUCGGAAUUACUGGGCGUAAAGCGCACGCAGGCGGUUUGUUAAGUCAGAUGUGAAAUCCCCGGGCUCAACCUGGGAACUGCAUCUGAUACUGGCAAGCUUGAGUCUCGUAGAGGGGGGUAGAAUUCCAGGUGUAGCGGUGAAAUGCGUAGAGAUCUGGAGGAAUACCGGUGGCGAAGGCGGCCCCCUGGACGAAGACUGACGCUCAGGUGCGAAAGCGUGGGGAGCAACACAGGAUUAGAUACCCUGGUAGUCCACGCCGUAAACGAUGUCGACUUGGAGGUUGUGCCCUUGAGGCGUGGCUUCCGGAGCUAACGCGUUAAGUUGACCGCCUGGGGAGUACGGCCGCAAGGUUAAAACUCAAAUGAAUUGACGGGGGCCCGCACAAGCGGUGGAGCAUGUGGUUUAAUUCGAUGCAACGCGAAGAACCUUACCUGGUCUUGACAUCCACAGAACUUUCCAGAGAUGGAUUGGUGCCUUCGGGAACUGUGAGACAGGUGCUGCAUGGCUGUCGUCAGCUCGUGUUGUGAAAUGUUGGGUUAAGUCCCGCAACGAGCGCAACCCUUAUCCUUUGUUGCCAGCGGUCCGGCCGGGAACUCAAAGGAGACUGCCAGUGAUAAACUGGAGGAAGGUGGGGAUGACGUCAAGUCAUCAUGGCCCUUACGACCAGGGCUACACACGUGCUACAAUGGCGCAUACAAAGAGAAGCGACCUCGCGAGAGCAAGCGGACCUCAUAAAGUGCGUCGUAGUCCGGAUUGGAGUCUGCAACUCGACUCCAUGAAGUCGGAAUCGCUAGUAAUCGUGGAUCAGAAUGCCACGGUGAAUACGUUCCCGGGCCUUGCACACACCGCCCGUCA